ACUUGAUCUCUAAACAAAAUUCGAUCUAUGAUGAAACACUUUCCAAAAGCACUCCUUAUUGGAUUCGGACUCGGAUUCGCGGCUGAAAACUAUAACUUGCCGACUCGGUGUAGGACUCGAAGAGGGACUCGGUGUAGGACUCGAUGAGGGACUCGGUGUAGGACUCCAAGAGGGACUCGGUGUAAGACUCGAAGAGGGACUCGGUGUAGGACUCGAUGAGGGACUCGGUGUAGGACUCAAAGAGGGACUCGGUGGAAGAUAUGGUGGCGGCGGAAGAUUAUGGCGGUGGUGUGGCAGGAAGUUUGGCGGCGGAAGAUUGAUGAAGGAAACCUGCGUCACACGAAGAACAAGAAAACCAAAAGCAAGUUCGAUCUAGUAGAAAAAAAUCUGAAAAACGAUCCAAUCUAAUCCAGCAACUCGACACGAUUAAUGCAGCAAAGAUUCAACAAUGCAAAUACUAAUGUGAAAAUUGCAAGGCUCAGAUUGGUUCUAGGACAAGGUAACUAAUUCUAAUUUUUGUUUGGCUUUUUCUGGACGAUAGGUAAAAGCAGAUCUAAACAACGGAUAAACUGGAAAAAUCUCACCGAGCAACCUUAAGCUCUGAUACCACGUGAUAUGGGUGCGGGUGGCCCGAUCUUUCGAUGAGAUUGGUAACUCUCGAUUUGGGUAGGAGGUGACGUUGACGAUCCGACUACGGCCUAGGAGGCAGCGCCUUAGCAAUCGAUACACCAACUCCAGAGGGUUAUUGAUCACGCGGGGGCACGAUCAACCUGACCACGAAGGUCUUUGUUCCUGCAAGCAAUCGAAGAACAAGCAAGAACAAGAUAAAUAGCCGAUGCAAUCUGAAAUUGCGAAUAUACUAUAUCAAACCAAUGUCUCAACGAGACGAUAAGUUGGGGUUCCGAAAGCGGUAAAACAGGUGGUCUAACCGACACACGCGAUUACACGAAGUAGUAGCGAUGGCUAACUUUUAACUAAACAAAACCCAAGGCUCCUUAGGGGGGCUCAUGGGGUAUAUAAAGGAGGAGGAAGAGAUAUUUUCGUCCACCUUGAAUAAGGAGUCCGAAAUCCAACUCUAUCUCUAACUUUCCUAACAAACUACAACUCUUUAGGAAACAGAAAAACAGAUCCGUCAGUUGUUUUGUCCGCCACGGUCAGCACGAGUCGAAUCUCUUGAUGGGGCCAGAUCCGUUGGAAAGGUCUUGUAAUUACCUUUCCAACAAGUACUUGUUUGCUUGAUUUGGACUCCGGAUGCGGCCUGGGUGAUUAAAACAAAUUCGGGUCUCCUGACGGCUCGGACCCGAAUCGGAUUCAACUUUAAUUCGUGAUACCUUUCUCUAGCAAGCUCCGAAUCAUGUGCCGUUUGAUUUGUUGGAAAGUAGACUUGAUAGGCUUCACUUUGAAUCUCCCUUGGCAGGCUAUCACACUUCAUCUUCACUUUGGACUUGUAAAGUUCAAUAAGAUGCCUACAUAAUAAGAUUACACAAGAUAGUAGCUCCGCCUCUUUGCAAGUAACAUAUUGAAAACAUUUUGUAAUUGAAUUCACCUGAUUAUAAUUGUUAUUAGAUACACCAACAAUUAGGGUUCUAAUGGUUGUAUCCAUGGUUAGCAUGUCCAUAUCAACACCAAACAAAGCUACUUACCGAAGCGAAACAAGACUAGACCACUUGUACGGACUCGCUAGGGAUGGUCCCACACUGGGACAAAAAUUCCGGCCAAAUCGUAGUCGGUGCUAAACUUUGAUCCGGAACGUGUCCAUUUUAGGUACAAGCAUGAGCACACCAAACAAAGCUACUUACCGAAGCGAAACAAGACUAGACCACUUGUACGGACUCGCUAGGGAUUGUCCCACACAGGGACAAAAAUUCCGGCCAAAUCGUAGUCGGUGCUAAACUUUGAUCCGGAACGUGUCCAUUUUAGGUACUAGCAUGAGCACACCAAACAAAGCUACUUACCGAAGCGAAACAAGACUAGACCACUUGUACGGACUCGCUAGGCAUGGUCCCUCACUAGGACGGACAAUCCGGCCAAAUCGGAGUCGGUAUUAAACUUAGAUACGAAACGGGUCCAUUUUAGGUACUAGCAUGGGCACACCAAACAAAGCUACUCAUCGAAGCGAAACAAGACUAGACCACAUGUACGGACUCGCUAGGGAUGGAUCCACACUGGGACAAAAAUUCCGGCCUAAUCGUAGUCGGUGCUAAACUUUGAUCCGGAACGUGUCCAUUUUAGAUACUAGCAUGAGCACACCAAACAAAGCUACUUACCGAAGCGAAACAAGACUAGACCACUUGUACGGACUCGCUAGGGAUGGUCCCACACAAGGACAGACUAUCCGGCCAAAUCGGAGUCGGUGCUGAACUUUGAUCCGGAACGUGUCCAUUUUAGGUACUAGCAUGAGCACACCAAACAAAGCUACUCAUCGAAGCGAAACAAGACUAGACCACUUGUACGGACUCCCUAGGGAUGGUCCCACACUAGGACAGACAAUCCGGCCAAAUCGGAGUCGGUGUUAAACUUUUAUCCGGAACGUGUCCAUUUUAGGUAUAGACUCGCUAGGCAUGGUCCGUCACUAGGACGGACAAUCCGGCCAAAUCGCAGUCGGUGCUAAACUUUGUUCCGGAAAGGGUCCGUUUGGCGUUAUAAGAUGAGCACACCAAACAAAGCUACUCAUCGAAGCGAAACUAGACUAGACCACUUGUACAGACUCGCUAGGCAUGGUCCCUCACUAGGACGGACAAUCCGGCCAAAUCGGAGUCGGUGCUAAACUUUGAUCCGGAACAUGUUCGUUUUAGAUACUAGCAUGAGCACACUAAACAAAGCUACUCAUCGAAUCGAAACAAGACUAGACAACUUGUACAGACUUGCUAGCCAUGGUCCCUCACUAGGACGGACAAUCCGGCCAAAUCGCAGUCGGUGCUAAACUUUGAUCCGGAAAGGGUCCGUUUGGCGUUAUAAGAUGAGCACACCAAAAGAAGCUACUCAUCAAAGCGAAACAAUAGUAGCCCACUUGCAUAGACUCGCUAGGCAUGGUCCCUCACUAGGACGGACAAUCCGGCCAAAUCGCAGUCGGUGCUAAACUUUGAUCAGCACAGCAAACAAAGCUACUCAUUGAAGCGAAACAAGACUAGACCACUUUAACGGACUCGCUAGGGAUGGACCCACACUAGGACGGACAAUCCGGCCAAAUCGGAGUCUGUGCUAAACUUUGAUCCGGAACGUUUCCAUUUUAGGUACUAGCAUGAGCACACCAAACAAAGCUACUCAUCGAAGCGAAACAAGACUAGACCACUUGUCCAGACUCGCUCGGCAUGGUCCCUCACUAGGACGGACAAUCCGGCCAAAUCGCAGUUGGUGCUAAACUUUGAUCCGAAAAGGGUCCGUUCGGCGUUAUAAGAUGAGCACACCAAACAAAGCUACUCAUUGAAGCGAAACAAGACUAGACCACUUGUACAGACUCGCUAGGAAUGGUCCCUCACUAGGACGGACAAUCCGGCCAAAUCGCAGCCGGUGCUGAACUUUGAUCCGGAAAGGGUCCGUUUUGUGUUAUAAGAUGAGCACACCAAAGAAAGCUACUCACCGAAGCGAAACAACACUAGACCACUUGUCCAGACUCGCUCCGCAUGGUCCCUCACUAGGACGGACAAUCCGGCCAAAUCGCAGUCCGUGCUAAACUUUGAUCCGGAAAUGGUCCGUUUUGCGUUAUAAGAUGAGGACACCAAACAAAGCUACUCAUCGAAGCCAAACAAGACUAGACCACUUGAACGGACUCGCUAGGGAUGGUCCCACACUAGGACGGACAAUCGGGACAAAUCGGAGUCGGUGCUAAACUUUGAUCCGGAACGUGUCCAUUUUAUGUACUAGCAUGAGCACACCAAACAAAGCUACUUACCGAAGCGAAACAAGACUAGACCACUUGUACGGACUCGCUAGGGAUGGUCCCACACUGGGACAAAAAUUCCGGCCAAAUCGUUGUCGGUGCUAAACUUUGAUCCGGAACGUGUCCAUUUUAGGUACAAGCAUGAGCACACCAAACAAAGCUACUUACCGAAGCGAAACAAGACUAGAGCACUUGUCGGACUCGAUAGGCAUGGUCCCUCACUAGGACGGACAAUCCGGCCAAACUAGAGUCGGUGCUAAACUUUGAUAAGGAACGGGUCCGUUUGGCGUUAUAAGAUGAGCACACCAAACAAAGCUACUCAUCGAAGCAAAACAAGACUAGACCCGUUUAACGGACUCGCUAGGGAUGGACCCAGACUAGGACGGACAAUCCGGCCAAAUCUGAGUCGGUGCUAAACUUUGAUCCGGAACGUGUCCAUUUUAGCAACUAGCAUGAGCACACCAAACAAAGCAACUCAUCGAAGCAAAACAAGACUAGACCACUUGUCCAGACUCGCUCGGCAUGGUCCCUCACUAGGAUGGACAAUCCGGCCAAAUCGCAGUCGGUGCUAAACUUUGAUCCGAAAAGGGUCCGUUUGACGUUAUAAGAUGAGCACACCAAACAAAGCUACUCAUCGAAGCAAAACAAGACUAGACCACUUCUAUAGUCUCGCUAGGCAUGGUCCCUCACUAGGACGGACAAUCCGGCCAAAUCGCAGUCGGUGCUAAACUUUGAUCCGGAAAGGGUCCGUUUUGCGUUAUAAGAUGAGCACACCAAACAAAGCUACUCAUCGAAGCAAAACAAGGCUAGACCACUUGAACGGACUCGCUAGGGAUGGUCCCACACUAGGACGGACAAUCUGGCCAAAUCGGAGUCGGUGCUAAACUUUGAUCCGGAACGUGUCCAUUUUAGCAACUGGCUUGAGCACACCAAACAAAUUAGACCACUUGUAGAGACUCGAUAGGCAUGGUCCCUCACUAGGACGGACAAUCCGGCCAAACUAGAGUCGGUGCUAAACUUUGAUAAGGAACGGGUCCGUUUGGCGUUAUAAGAUUAGCACACCAAACAAAGCUACUCAUCGAAGCAAAACUAGACUAGACCCGUUUAACGGACUCGCUAGGGAUGGACCCAGACUAGGACGGACAAUCCGGCCAAAUCUGAGUCGGUGCUAAACUUUGAUCCGGAACGUGUCCAUUUUAGCAACUAGCAUAAGCACACCAAACAAAGCAACUCAUCGAAGCGAAACAAGACUAGACCACUUGUCCAGACUCGCUCGGCAUGGUCCCUCACUAGGACGGACAAUCCGGCCAAAUCGCAGUCGGUGCUAAACUUUGAUCCGAAAAGGGUCCGUUUGACGUUAUAAGAUGAGCACACCAAACAAAGCUACUCAUCGAAGCGAAACAAGACUAGACCACUUCUAUAGUCUCGCUAGGCAUGGUCCCUCACUAGGACGGACAAUCCGGCCAAAUCGCAGUCGGUGCUAAACUUUGAUCUGAAAAGUGUCCGUUUUGCGUUAUAAGAUGAGCACACCAAACAAAGCUACUCAUCGAAGCAAAACAAGACUAGACCACUUGAACGGACUCGCUAGGGAUGGUCCCACACUAGGACGGACAAUCUGGCCAAAUCGGAGUCGGUGCUAAACUUUGAUCCGGAACGUGUCCAUUUUAGCAACUGGCUUGAGCACACCAAACAAAUUAGACCACUUGUAGAGACUCGCUAGGCAUGGUCCCUCACUAGGAGGGACAAUCCGGCCAAAUCGGAGUCGGUGCUAAACUUUGAUCCGGAACGUGUCCAUUUUAGCAACUGGCUUGAGCACACCAAACAAAUUAGACCACUUGUAGAGACUCGCUAGGCAUGGUCCCUCACUAGGACGGACAAUCCGGCCAAAUCGGAGUCGGUGUUAAACUUUCAUACGGAACGGGUCCGUUUGGCAUUAUACGAUGAGCACACAAAACAAAGCUACACAUCGAAGCGAAACAAGACUAGACGACAUGUACAGACUCGCUAGGCAUGAUCCCUCACUAGGACGGACAAUCCGGCCAAAUCGGAGUCGGUGCUAAACUUUGAUCCGGAACGUGUCCGUUUUAGCUACUAGCAUGAGCGCAGUAAACAAAGCUACUCAUCGAAGCGAAACAAGAGUAGACAACUUGUACGGACUUUCUCUUUUUUUUUCUUUUUUUUUCUUCUUUCUUUCUUUUUUUUCUUUCCUUUCUUUUUUUUUUUCAACUUUCCAAACAACUUGAUCUCUAAACAAAAUUCGAUCUAUGAUGAAACACUUUCCAAAAGCACUCCUUAUUGGACUCGGACUCGAACUCGCGGCUGAAAACUAUUACUUGCCGACUCGAUGUAGAACUCGAAGAGGGACUCGGUGUAGGACUCGAUGAGGGACUCGGUGUAGGACUCAAAGAGGGACUCGGUUUAGGACUCAAAGAGGGACUCGGUGUAGGACUCGAAGAGGGACUCGGUGGAAGAUAUGGUGGCGGCGGGAGAUUAUGGCGGUGGUGUGGCAGGAAGUUUGGCGGCGGAAGAUUGAUGAAGGAAACCUGCGUCACACGAAGAACAAGAAAACCAAAAGCAAGUUCGAUCUAGUAGAAAAAAAUCUGAAAAACGAUCCAAUCUAAUCCAGCAACUCGACACGAUUAAUGCAGCAAAGAUUCAACAAUGCAAAUACUAAAGCGAAAAUUGCAAGGCUCAGAUUGGUUCUAGGACAAGGUAACUAAUUCUAAUUUUUAUUUGACUUUUUCUGGACGAUAGGUAAAAACAGAUCUAAACUACGGAUAAACUGGAAAAAUGUCACCGAGCAACCUUAAGCUCUGAUACCACUUGAUAAGGGUGCGGGUGGCCCGAUCUUUCGAUGAGAUUGGUAACUCUCGAUUUGGGUAGGAGGUGACGUUGACGAUCCGACUACGGCCUAGCAGGCAGCGCCUUAGCAAUCGAUACACCAACUCCAAAGGGUUAUUGAUCACGCGGGGGCACGAUCAACCUGACCACGAAGGUCUUUGUUCCUGCAAGCAAUCGAAGAACAAGCAAGAACAAGAUAAAUAGCGGAUGCAAUCUAAAAUUGCGAAUAUACUAUAUCAAACCAAUGUCUCAACGAGACGAUAAGUUGGGGUUCCGAAAGCGGUAAAACAG
rnacentral:lncRNA from 1 species